UAAUUUGCAUUGCAUCUUUAUCAUAGGCAUUGGCGAGCACAGAUACAAGCCUCCGCAAAAGAUUUCUUCGCAAGAGAAAUAUUACAGAUACUCCCUUCUGGUUAAAACAAAUGACAAUUUCUCCGUGAUAAACUAUUACAUACUGAAAAUGAAAUUUAAAGGAAAACCCAAUGAUUGUAAUAACCAAAAGAAGCAUUUUUAUCUUUUUUAUACAGGAACUUUUGCAUCAGAUGAAUGGUAAUGACUCAAUAUCAUAUAAUCAAAUCAAGGGGAACAUCUCUGUAUCUAGGAAAAAAGAAAGGUGAAAAUGUAUAUCUAAAUUGAGUACUGCAUAUAGGAAACAAACUGCUAAAUACCAGACAUGUAUGCCUCCAAUGAAAGUGGCCCGUGGCUAUCGGAGUUAUCAACAAAAAGACCUGUGUCCAAGUAUUAUAGAGCUUAAAUGUCUGAAAUUAGUGUGGAAUUGAAGGCUAAAAAGUAUAGAGUGUCAACCCAGAAGAAUUUAAUAAGUCAUCUUCAAGAUACACACAA
rnacentral:misc_RNA from 1 species